CACUACUUAUAAAUACAGUUAGACGCACAAAAAAGUUGUUACGAUUCUACACACAAAAGAAAGUAGUUACAUAAUUUCUGAAUUUGCCUUAAGUUGAGAGCAGCUAAACUUGAAGCUUACAAGAAAAGAAUAGCAACAAAUAACAAUGGAGAAUUCUACCAAAGAUAACCAGCCUUCUACAUCGAGUAAUGUAGGUGGUGUAACGGAUGAUGAUUGUUUCUUGGUCCUGAAAUUGGCUGAAGAUGAUCCUUUGUAUGAAAAGAAGAUAAAAUUGCUCGCAGAUAAGGGCUUUGGUUCAAAUGACCGUGUAUACUUCCAUAAAACUUUAGUUUCUGAAUUUGCAAAUGUUGAGCUGAAUGCCUUACUCCAGAGAGCUCGAAUAAUUAAGUUGAACGAUAUUGAGCUUUAUUUUGGUCUAAUGCAUGUGGAUCCCGCAGAAGAAUUGUACAGUUCUCGGAAUGAGUUAGAGGCUCUCAAUUUUAUCCUCUCUCUUGUUGAUCUCUACAGUGAAAAAAGUAAGGAAAUAAUGCUUCACUGAAAGUAUUACGAGAUGCAAUUAUUAGAAGACUUUACAAUUUUGGUGAAAAAAAUAAAUUGAAAACAAGGAUUGUAAAGGAAGCAUGUGACAGUGAGAAGCAUCUUAUGGAGUGGGCUGAAAGCUGUGGUCUAAAAUCUAAGCUGCAGAUAGCUUAUGUUGAAGGAGCUGGGAGAGGAGCUCUGGCAGCAGAAGAUCUUGGGGUUGGAGACGUUGCACUGGAGAUUCCGAUUUCUGUUAUUAUCUCAGAAGACCUUGUAUAUGACUCAGACAUGGUUGAUGCUUUGAAGAAGAUAGAUGGCAUUUCAGCUGAAACUAUGUUGUUGUUGUGGAGCAUGAGGGAGAGACACAAUGUGGAUUCAAAGUACAAAUCCUACUUUGAUACACUGCCUGAAAAAUUUAACACGGGAUUGAGUUUUGGUCUGGAUGCAAUGAUAGCUUUGGAUGGGACCUUGGCUCUUGAAGAAGUAUCCCAAGCUAAGGAGCACUUGCGGUCUGGAUAUGAUGAGUUGUUUCCUGCACUCUCCAUCAGUUCUCCUGAUAUAUUCGCAUCUGAGUUCUACACAUGGGAGCAGUAUCAAUGGGCAUGUGAGUUAUGGUACUCAAAUUCGAUGAAGAUAAUGUUUCCUGAUGGAAAGCUGAGGACAUGUUUGGUCCCUAUUGCAGGCUUUCUAAACCAUUCGGUUUGCCCACAUAUUUUGCAUUAUGGCAGAGUGGAUGCUACGACAAACACUCUCAAAUUCCCUUUGUCAAGACCUUGCAAGAAGGGGGAGCAAUGCUACCUGAGCUAUGGAAAUUUGUCUAGUUCUCAUCUGCUCACCUUCUAUGGUUUCAUACCACAACCACCAAACCCUUUUGAUGUCAUCCCUUUAGAUAUUGAAGCAGCCCCAGAAAGCUCUUCUGAGGAUGUUCGUUCUGCAUCUGACAUUACACACAUGGUUCGGGGUACAUGGCUUUCACCCAACCAAGAAAUCUUCUACUAUGGAUUGCCAUCACUACUAUUGGAGCAUUUACGGAGUGCUCGGAGUCCAGGCUUGCGGACAAUGACACUGCUGAAAGAAAACUUGGAAAUUGAGAAGGAAGUUCUGAAGGACCUUUUAGCGAUUUUUGAUAACAUGAUGGACAACCUCGGCGACUCAGCAUUGGAUGACCGGAAAAAUGAGAAUUGGAUGUGCAAUUAG